rnacentral:rRNA from 1 species
UGGGGAAUCUUGCACAAUGGGGGAAACCCUGAUGCAGCGACGCCGCGUGAACGAUGAAGCCCUUCGGGGUGUAAAGUUCUUUCGACAGGAACGAUAAUGACGGUACCUGGAGAAGAAGCUGCGGCUAACUACGUGCCAGCAGCCGUGGUAAUACGUAGGCAGCGAGCGUUGUUCGGAGUUACUGGGCGUAAAGAGUGCGUAGGCGGCGAGCCAAGUUUGGUGUGAAAUCUCCCGGCUUAACCGGGAGGGUGCGCCGAAAACUGGUUGGCUGGAGUAUGGGAGAGGAAAGCGGAAUUCCUGGUGUAGCGGUGAAAUGCGUAGAUAUCAGGAGGAACACCUGCGGUGUAGACAGCUUUCUGGACCAAAACUGACGCUGAGGCACGAAAGCGUGGGUAGCAAACA